rnacentral:misc_RNA from 1 species
AAGUCGUAACAAGGUUUCCGUAGGUGAACCUGCGGAAGGAUCAUUAUCACGUAUCCACGUAUAAACCAUUGUGAACCGUUCUUUAACCUCUGCAAAACUGGCUGGCGUCACGAAUCGUAAAAAAGUUUGUGACCCAGCCGGCUAGUAACAGAGCGUAUUCAACCUAUUAACCAUUUUAACCAAUCUUUAUAACUUUAUGAACUAACUUUAUUUUAUACUCUUCGGAGAUAAAAUUCAUUACGAAACAAAGAACAACUCUUAGCAACGGAUAUCUUGGUUCUC